GAUGAACGCUGGCGGCGUGCCUAAUACAUGCAAGUCGAGCGAACAGACGAGGAGCUUGCUCCUCUGACGUUAGCGGCGGACGGGUGAGUAACACGUGGAUACCCUACCUAUAAGACUGGGAUCACUUCGGGAAACCGGAGCUAAUACCGGAUAAUCUAUUGAACCGCAGGGUUCAAUAGUGAAAGACGGUUUUGCUGUCACUUCUAGAUGGAUCCGGGCGGCAUUAGCUAGUUGGUACGGUAACGGCUUACCACGGCAACGAUGCGUAGCCGACGUGAGAGGGGGAUCGGCGGCACGGGAGGUGAGACAGGGUCCAGGGGCCUACGGGAGGCACCAGUAGGGAACGUGCGGCAGUGGGCGAAAGCCUGACGGAACAACGCCGCGUGUGUGAUGAAGGUCUUCGGAUCGUAAAACUCUGUUAUUAGGGAAGAACAAAUGUGUAAGUAAAUAUGCACGGCUUGACGGUACCUAAUCAGAAAGCAACGGCUAACUACGUG
rnacentral:rRNA from 1 species